rnacentral:rRNA from 1 species
GACGAACCGAGCGAACGUUGUUCGGAAUCACUGGGCUUAAAGGGCACGUAGGCGGGUGCUCAAGUCCGGGGUGAAAUCCUCCAGCUCAACUGGAGAACUGCCUCGGAUACUGGGUGCCUCGAGGGUGGUAGGGGUAUGCGGAACUAUCGGUGGAGCGGUGAAAUGCGUUGAUAUCGAUAGGAACUCCGGUGGCGAAGGCGGCAUACUGGACCACAUCUGACGCUGAGGCGCGAAAGCCAGGGGAGCAAACGGG